rnacentral:lncRNA from 1 species
UAAAUUUCAUGGACCUCCACAGUAAUUUAUAGUCUCCAGAAUUUCUGCCUGCUUUACAUGAAAUUUUCUGGCCUUCUGAAUUCCAGGGGCCAUCUAAAAGCAAAUUGUUGGUAACCCAUUUAGCAUAUGUCCUCUAGAUGGCAGAAAAGGAUUUGGUUUUACAGUUUUGAAGUUUUCUCAGCUAUUGGACCAAAGUAUCACCAUCAGCAAAAGCUCUUGGUCAUUUGGUAGCAAAAAAAGUGUCUUGCUUUUCACAAAUGAAUAUAGCACAAUAGGCUUUAGUGACUCAGACGAAUUGAGAGAAUGGUCAAUCUAAGUUAGUGAAAAAGUCUGAUUUCUAGAGUUUCAAAAAUAAACACCCUUUUUAUUAUUUUUCAAAUACAUAUAGGAACUUGAAUAAAGUUGCCAAAUUAGCAAUAGCAAUCUUGGUAUAGGUGGCAAAGAACCUGUAGGUCCUUCAUAGUACAAUGAAAAAUCAAGGCUGCUUAAUUAGGGAAAUCCUAUUUAUUUAUAAUCUAUAGAGAAACUGAUAAGGAAAUCAUUUAUUUUCAAUAUAUAGAGAAAAUGAAGUAUCUAUAAAAGAUUUUUCUGAUUUCCAAUUCUUAUGCAUUUUAUUUCUCUACUUAUUUUUUUAUUUUAUUUUAUUUUUUUAAAAUAGGACUUCUGUCCAGUGUAGAAUUUUAUAAUGUGAAGUUCUGGAAUGGAGCUUGGUGUUUUUAUGACCUUACCAUCGGUGGAACAAUAAAUCAUACAGCAUCCUUUCCCAGUUUAAAAGAAAAAAAGGAAAAAAAAAAAGUAAUAAACACCCAUAAUCAAACCAAAUUCACUUAACUGUCCAUGAUCAAGAAUGUAUGCCGUUAUUUUGAAAUCAUCUCUCUUAUCAGCAGGUAAGAAACACUAUUCAUCAUCAGUCUUCUGAAAUCAUGGUUGGUCAUUGUAUUGAUAGGUCAUAAUUCUUAUGUCUUAGUUGCUUGCUUUAUAACAUUAUCAUAUAGAAUGUCCCCAAAAUCUUAGUUCAGUUU